rnacentral:rRNA from 1 species
UCAGGCCUAACACAUGCAAGUCGAGCGGAAACGAGUUAUCUGACCCUUCGGGCGACGAUAUCGGCGUCGAGCGGCGGACGGGUGAGUAAUGCCUGGGAAAUUGCCCUGAUGUGGGGGAUAACCAUUGGAAACGAUGGCUAAUACCGCAUAAUAGCUUCGGCUCAAAGAGGGGGACCUUAGGGCCUCUCGCGUCAGGAUAUGCCCAGGUGGGAUUAGCUAGUUGGUGAGGUAAGGGCUCACCAAGGCGACGAUCCCUAGCUGGUCUGAGAGGAUGAUCAGCCACACUGGAACUGAGACACGGUCCAGACUCCUACGGGAGGCAGCAGUGGGGAAUAUUGCACAAUGGGCGCAAGCCUGAUGCAGCCAUGCCGCGUGUAUGAAGAAGGCCUUCGGGUUGUAAAGUACUUUCAGCAGUGAGGAAGGUGGUAGUGUUAAUAGCACUAUUAUUUGACGUUAGCUGCAGAAGAAGCACCGGCUAACUCCGUGCCAGCAGCCGCGGUAAUACGGAGGGUGCGAGCGUUAAUCGGAAUUACUGGGCGUAAAGCGCAUGCAGGUGGAUGAUUAAGUCAGAUGUGAAAGCCCGGGGCUCAACCUCGGAAUAGCAUUUGAAACUGGUUAUCUAGAGUACUGUAGAGGGGGGUAGAAUUUCAGGUGUAGCGGUGAAAUGCGUAGAGAUCUGAAGGAAUACCGGUGGCGAAGG